rnacentral:rRNA from 1 species
GGUCAAGUGAAGAAGCGCAUACGGUGGAUGCCUUGGCAGUCAGAGGCGAUGAAAGACGUGGUAGCCUGCGAAAAGCUUCGGGGAGUCGGCAAACAGACUUUGAUCCGGAGAUGUCUGAAUGGGGGAACCCAGCCAUCAUAAGAUGGUUACCUUACACUGAAUACAUAGGUGUAAGGGGCGAACCAGGGGAACUGAAACAUCUAAGUACCCUGAGGAAAAGAAAUCAACCGAGAUUCCCUUAGUAGUGGCGAGCGAACGGGGACUAGCCCUUAAGUGGCUUUGAGAUUAGCGGAACGCUCUGGAAAGUGCGGCCAUAGUGGGUGAUAGCCCUGUACGCGAAAAUCUCUUAGUCAUGAAAUCGAGUAGGACGGAGCACGAGAAACUUUGUCUGAAUAUGGGGGGACCAUCCUCCAAGGCUAAAUACUACUGACUGACCGAUAGUGAACUAGUACCGUGAGGGAAAGGCGAAAAGAACCCCGGAGAGGGGAGUGAAAUAGAUCCUGAAACCGUAUGCGUACAAGCAGUGGGAGCAGACUUUGUUCUGUGACUGCGUACCUUUUGUAUAAUGGGUCAGCGACUUAUUUUCAGUGGCGAGCUUAACCGAAUAGGGGAGGCGUAGCGAAAGCGAGUCUUAAUAGGGCGUCUAGUCGCUGGGAAUAGACCCGAAACCGGGCGAUCUAUCCAUGGGCAGGUUGAAGGUUGGGUAACACUAACUGGAGGACCGAACCGACUACCGUUGAAAAGUUAGCGGAUGACCUGUGGAUCGGAGUGAAAGGCUAAUCAAGCUCGGAGAUAGCUGGUUCUCCUCGAAAGCUAUUUAGGUAGCGCCUCAUGUAUCACUGUAGGGGGUAGAGCACUGUUUCGGCUAGGGGGUCAUCCCGACUUACCAAACCGAUGCAAACUCCGAAUACCUACAAGUGCCGAGCAUGGGAGACACACGGCGGGUGCUAACGUCCGUCGUGAAAAGGGAAACAACCCAGACCGUCAGCUAAGGUCCCAAAGUUAUGGUUAAGUGGGAAACGAUGUGGGAAGGCUUAGACAGCUAGGAGGUUGGCUUAGAAGCAGCCACCCUUUAAAGAAAGCGUAAUAGCUCACUAGUCGAGUCGGCCUGCGCGGAAGAUGUAACGGGGCUCAAACCAUACACCGAAGCUACGGGUAUCACGUAAGUGAUGCGGUAGAGGAGCGUUCUGUAAGCCUGUGAAGGUGAGUUGAGAAGCUUGCUGGAGGUAUCAGAAGUGCGAAUGCUGACAUGAGUAACGAUAAUGGGUGUGAAAAACACCCACGCCGAAAGACCAAGGUUUCCUGCGCAACGUUAAUCGACGCAGGGUUAGUCGGUCCCUAAGGCGAGGCUGAAAAGCGUAGUCGAUGGAAAACAGGUUAAUAUUCCUGUACUUCUGGUUAUUGCGAUGGAGGGACGGAGAAGGCUAGGCCAGCUUGGCGUUGGUUGUCCAAGUUUAAGGUGGUAGGCUGAGAUCUUAGGUAAAUCCGGGAUCUUAAGGCCGAGAGCUGAUGACGAGUUGUCUUUUAGAUGACGAAGUGGUUGAUGCCAUGCUUCCAAGAAAAGCUUCUAAGCUUCAGGUAACCAGGAACCGUACCCCAAACCGACACAGGUGGUUGGGUAGAGAAUACCAAGGCGCUUGAGAGAACUCGGGUGAAGGAACUAGGCAAAAUGGCACCGUAACUUCGGGAGAAGGUGCGCCGGUGAGGGUGAAGGACUUGCUCCGUAAGCCCAUGCCGGUCGAAGAUACCAGGCCGCUGCGACUGUUUAUUAAAAACACAGCACUCUGCAAACACGAAAGUGGACGUAUAGGGUGUGACGCCUGCCCGGUGCCGGAAGGUUAAUUGAUGGGGUUAGCUAACGCGAAGCUCUUGAUCGAAGCCCCGGUAAACGGCGGCCGUAACUAUAACGGUCCUAAGGUAGCGAAAUUCCUUGUCGGGUAAGUUCCGACCUGCACGAAUGGCGUAACGAUGGCGGCGCUGUCUCCACCCGAGACUCAGUGAAAUUGAAAUCGCUGUGAAGAUGCAGUGUAUCCGCGGCUAGACGGAAAGACCCCGUGAACCUUUACUAUAGCUUUGCACUGGACUUUGAAUUUGCUUGUGUAGGAUAGGUGGGAGGCUUUGAAGCGUGGACGCCAGUUCGCGUGGAGCCAACCUUGAAAUACCACCCUGGCAACUUUGAGGUUCUAACUCAGGUCCGUUAUCCGGAUCGAGGACAGUGUAUGGUGGGUAGUUUGACUGGGGCGGUCUCCUCCUAAAGAGUAACGGAGGAGUACGAAGGUGCGCUCAGACCGGUCGGAAAUCGGUCGUAGAGUAUAAAGGCAAAAGCGCGCUUGACUGCGAGACAGACACGUCGAGCAGGUACGAAAGUAGGUCUUAGUGAUCCGGUGGUUCUGUAUGGAAGGGCCAUCGCUCAACGGAUAAAAGGUACUCCGGGGAUAACAGGCUGAUACCGCCCAAGAGUUCAUAUCGACGGCGGUGUUUGGCACCUCGAUGUCGGCUCAUCACAUCCUGGGGCUGAAGCCGGUCCCAAGGGUAUGGCUGUUCGCCAUUUAAAGUGGUACGCGAGCUGGGUUUAGAACGUCGUGAGACAGUUCGGUCCCUAUCUGCCGUGGACGUUUGAGAUUUGAGAGGGGCUGCUCCUAGUACGAGAGGACCGGAGUGGACGAACCUCUGGUGUUCCGGUUGUCACGCCAGUGGCAUUGCCGGGUAGCUAUGUUCGGAAUAGAUAACCGCUGAAAGCAUCUAAGCGGGAAACUAGCCUCAAGAUGAGAUCUCACUGGGACCUUGAGUCCCCUGAAGGGCCGUCGAAGACUACGACGUUGAUAGGUUGGGUGUGUAAGCGCUGUGAGGCGUUGAGCUAACCAAUACUAAUUGCCCGUGAGGCUUGACCAU